GUGGACCUGGUGGCACAAGGGGACAGCAUCUACGACCUGCUGGACCCGGCCGAUCACCCCCUGGUGCGGCACCAGCUGAGCCUGCCCGGGCCCCCCCAGGCAGAGCGCCUCUUCCGCUGCCGCUUCACCACCUCCCGCGCCUCACGCCGGCCGAGCGCCGGCCGCAAGCUGGUGCUGCUGCGGGGACGCUUCCAGGACCCCCCCGGGCCCCCCGGUGCCACCCCCGGGCUCUUCGUGGCCUUCUGCGCCCCCCCUUGACCCCCCCCGCCCUGGCCCUGCCCCGCCUGCCUCCUGCUGCCGGCCUUCCCGAGCCGCCCCGCCCGCGACCUCGCCCUGCUGGACAUCUCCGACUGUGUCCUGGUCCACCUGGGCUAUGGCCGUGGGGAGCUCCUGGGCCGCUCCCUGGUACCGCCUGCUGCACCCCGAGGACCUCGGCCACGUUGCCCGCCAGCACCUGCGCCUCGGUCAGUGUUCCCAGGGUCCCCGGGUGUCCAUUGGAUUCUCCAGAGCCCUCGUCCCCUCCUGGUGUCCCUGUCCCCUGAUCCUCCAUGGGGAAGAUGUCCCACCAUGUCCCCAGGGGUGUCCCCCAUCGCCCUGGGAUCCUGCAUGGCCCUGUCCUCAACGUCCCCAUCCCCCUCAAUCACCUCAUCCUACUCAAUGUCCCCAUGUCUCCAACCCACAACGGACACCACUGCUGUCCCCCACAGCCCCAGUUCCCCUCUCUCCCCACCCCCCUGCCCAUCCCCCCAGGCCGUUGCUGUCCCCUCUGAUGUCCCCGUGUUCCCCACAGCUGGUGCAGGCCGGAGGCGCGGGGGGAGGUGGUGACACGGCGGCAGCGCAAGGACGGCCUGGGCUGGACGUGGGUCUACGCCCGGCUGCGCCCUGAGGGGCCGGCCCUGCUCGCCCACAACUUCGUCAUCAGUCAGUGCACACCCAGCGUCAGCGGUCAGCGCCCUUGGAGACACCCAGGUGGCCGCAGACCCCCCUGACCCCUGUGUUCCCCCACAGUGAGGCUGAGGCCUGGUGCCUGCGGCAGCAGCUGGGCGGCCGAAGCCCCCCCAGGCCCCCCAGGAGCCAUUCGGGCCCGGCCUCAGCUUCCCCGGAGCUGGACAGGACCUCGGGGCCGGCACCGGGCCCAGCAUCGACCUCGGCGUGGGGCCCGGCCUGGGCGACGACGUCGGAGCCAACGUUGGCCUCGGCCUUGGGGUCAGCGUCGGGUGUGGCCUUGGAGCCGACGUCGGACACAGCCUGGGAGCCGCCCUAGGCGCCGGUGUGGAGCCCGGCCUGGGAGCUGGCGUUGGGCCCGGCCUUGGGGCCAGCAUCAGACACGGCCUGGGAGGCAACGCCAACGGCCACCGUUGACCCCGGCCUUGGGACUGGCGUUGGACCCAGGUCUUGAAAGCCGCCAUUGGGACACGGCCUUGGUGCCAAUACUGCGGCCACCACUGACCCCGGCCUUGGAACUGGAAUCGGACACGGCCUCGGAGGUAACACCGCGGCCACUGUUGACCCUGGCCUUGGGACUGGCGUUGGACCCGGCCUUGGGACUGGCAUCGGACACGGCCUGGGAGGCAGCACUGCGGCUACUGUUGACCCUGGCCUUGUGGCCGGCGUGGCACCGAACGUUGGCCACGCUCUUGGAGACACUGUUGGCCACAGCCUCGGCUCAGACAACCGGCAUCGGCCUCGGCGUGGGAAGCGGCAUCAGAGUGGACGUUGGGCUGGGCGUGGCGGCCGGAGCCAAUGUGGGCCCCACCCUCGGGGCUGAUCUCGGAGCCGCCCUCGGAGCUGGGGACGACAUCGGAGCCACUGGCGGGGCUGAGGUGGCCCCGGGCAUCGGGGCGGGAGUGGCCCUCAGCAUCGGCGCCAACAUCGGGCCCAGCCUGGGCGGCAGCGCCAUCAGGGCCAGUGUCGGGCUGGGCAUCGGCACCACUGUCGGCCCCACGCUGCCCCCGGACAUUGGAGUGACUGUUGGGGCCGGAGUCAGUGCCGGGGUCGGCCUUGGCCUCGGUGCCAACGUUGGAGGCGGGCCUGGAGUUGGACUCGGCCUUGGAGCCGCCCUCGGAGCCAACGUGAGCUCGACUCUUCCGUCUGGUGCCAGGCCCGGCGUGGGACUGGCCGUGGGCGCCACCGUGGGAGCCAACGCCAGCUCUGGCCUCGGACACAACAUUGGACUCACCGUCGGGGCUGGUGUCAGCUCCGGCCUCGGACUCGCUGUGGGAGCCAACGUGGGCUCCGGCCUCAGCUCCGGAGUUGGACUCACAGUCGGAGCUGCCCUCGGGCCUGAGAUGGACAUUGGCCUGGGAGUCGGGGCUGCUGUUGGCACCGCUCUUGCACCAGACAUCGGCCCCACUGCUGGACUCGCCUCAGCUCUGACCCUGGCUCGGACAUUGGCGUUGGCCUGGCGGUCGGAGCAGCCAGCAGCUCUGGCUUGGGUUCCGCACUGGGCUUCGCCGUGGGAGCCGCGCUCGGAGCGGGCACCUGCCCCGGCCUGGGGCCAGACAUCGGCGCUGACCCCGCUCUCACUGACCCCAGCCUCGGACUGGGGUCCGCCUCAGCCUUGGCCCUGGCGCCGGCCCUCGGGAGCCAACCGUGGCCCCCCUGGGCCCCCCACUCGGCCUCGGCCUCGGCGUCCGCCUGGCGCCGGGGCUGGGGGUCCCCGAGACCCCGGGGGGGGCACCGAGACCUGGACGCCGCCCUACACCCCCCGACAGGCCCCCCCCUUUGCCUUCGGGCCCCCGGAGCCCCCCGAGGCCACGGCCGAGAAGCUCCCGCCGAGCCCCGAGAGCCCCGGGGGGGUCUCCAGGGGGACCCCCGGUUUCUCUGCUGACCCCCGAGACGUCGCCGCCAGCCGCCGCCGUCCGCGACCCCCGCGGGGCCCGCCCUGCGCCGGCUGCUCCAGGGCUUGGCCGCCGCCGCCAUCGCCACCCGGGGGGGCCCCCGGCGCUCCUCGGGGGGGACUCCCGGCCCCCGGCUGGUCCCCCCGCCCCGGUCGCCCCGCGACCCCUUCUCUGAGUUGUAUCAACUCCCCCAGAGGCCGCCUCCAGGACGCCUUCCGCAAAGCCGGAAGCCAGCGCGCCCCGUCGUUCUGAACUAAGACUGUGACGCGACUUGCCCCCAGUAUGGCAUAUUGUCAUUGUCACCCCGGCCCGGAGCCAGCGCCCCCCGGCCCGGCCGCCCCCCGCCGCCCCCCCGGGGCCGCUCGUGCUAAUUUAACUCGUAACGAGUCUCUAAGGUAAUUGGGGGGGGGCUGGUGGCCCCCCCUCCCCCAGCCCGGACGCUUGGGGACCGUCCCUCGGGUCCCCUCCCUCCCCCCCGUCCCUGCCCCCCCCCACGCCACGACCCAAAUUUGGGGAUUGUCCCUUGUCGCCAAAAUUUUUUUGGGUCGCUGGGUGGGGGCUUGGACCCACCUGUAGGAGCCUGUGGCCCCCCCUUGCCCCCCCCGAGUGUCCUUGUCCCUUGUCACCCACCUCGUCCCUGUCACCCCUCACCCCCCCACCUCGGGGUCUGCAUUUUUGGCAGAGUCGCCCCCAAAAUUGUGGUCCCCUCCCCGCCCCUGUGGGUGUCAUCCUCAAUGUCCCAACGUGGGGGACCAAGGCACGAUGUGGCUUGAUGUCCCCAGUGUCCCCAGUGAUGUCCCCCAACGUCCCCGCCGAGCCAUGGGGCUGAGGCACAAUGUGCUCGAUGUCCCCAGUGUCCCCAACCAGUGACCUGAUGUCCUCAUUGUCCCCAACAUGGGGGACAUCAACACCGCUUCCCCCAAGCCAUUGGGCUGGGACAGGUCAUGGCUCGAUGUCCCCAAUGUCCCCAACAUCCCCCAAGGGACCGCGAGACAUCGUGGCCUGAUGUCCCCGACGUCCCCAACUUCCCCAACUUGAGAGACUGAGACACAUCAUGACUCAGUGUCCCUGAUGUCCCCAACGUCCCUGGUGUCACCCAAUGCCCCCGAUGUCCCCAAUGUCCCCAACGCCCCCACUCCCACCCCGAGAAACGUCGCAGCGCGAUGUCACCGAGCCCAAGGCACCGAGACCCGGCACAACUCGAUGUCCCCAACGUCCCUGAGGGACACGGGCACCUCAUCACCGCUGUGACCCCUGGGACCGAGACGUCCCCAACGUGUCCCCAGCGGAACGCCACCUGAAUGGACUGAGAUGACCCAGCCUGACGUCCCCAAUGUCCCCGAGGGACGUGGGCACCUCGUGACCGCCUCAGCUGGAGGGACCGAGACAACUCAUGGCCUGAUGUCCCCAAUGUCCCCAAGGGACGAGGGACCUGCUCAUCGUCACCCUGGAUCAAAGAGACUGAGACACCCAAUGUCUCCAAUGUCCCCAACCCCACGGACUGAGACUUGUGACCUAACGUCCCCAGUGUCACCGAUGUCCCUGAAGGAUGUGGGACAUCGUCACCACCCCGGGUCAAAGGACUGAGACCCCCACGCCCUGAUGUCCCCAAUGUCACUGAUGUCCCCAAAGGAUGGAGGACAUUGUCAUCGUCCCAGCUCAAGGACCGAGCCCCACCAUGUACCCCAAUGUCCCCAACAUGGGGGACUGGCCCCUGCUGUCCCCAACGUCCCCCACAUCCUCAGCCGAGGGACAGACAGGGGGUGGCCCCACAGCCCCCGUGUCCCCAAUGUCCCCAGUGUCCCCUGGAGGCCCUGUGGCCCUGACAAUAAAAGUGUCCCCCACGGUCCCCGUGCCUGUGGCAGCUUCUUCCCAGGGA
ensembl:lncRNA